rnacentral:lncRNA from 10 species
CUGGGUGCGGUGGCUCACGCCUGUAAUCCCAGCACUUUGGGAGGCUGAGGCGGGUGGAUCGUGAGGUCAAUAGAUCAAGACCAUCCUGGCCAACAUGAUGAAACCCCAUCUCUAUUAAAAAUACAAAAAUUAGCUGAGUGUGGUGGCAGGCGCCUGUAGUCCCAGCUACUCGGGACUACAGUGACCUGAGAUUGCACCACUGCACUCCAGCCUGGGCAACAGAGCGAGACUCUGCCUCAAAAAAAAAAAAGCAACAACAGCUCUGGGGCCCAGAAGCCUUGAGGGUGUGUCCAUCUUCACAUAGAAGCUAAGAGAUGGAAGCAAACACUGCUAUUGCCACCUUUUUGCAGAGGAAGGUACUGAGGUGAAGCGACUUGCCCAAACCCUACAAAAAUAACUGGCCAUUGCAUCAACAGCAGUGUCAAGAGCAUCAUAGCAUCGGAUGAUGAUGGACAGAUGCCUCUGCUGCAGAGUUAUGCCCCCGCCCCAACACUCAAUUGGCAAUCAUCUGGGGAAGUCUGUCACAAUGGUCCCUGUCCACCUUUCUUUUAGUGGUUUCAGCAUCUGUCAAAGGUUCUUAUUUGAAUUUCCAUCCUAUCAAGGGCUGCAAAAUGGUGACUUUCUGACCGUAUUAUUGCAUCUACAUUCACAGCUGACAUUCUUCAAUAAAGAAAAGUUUUCCUUCAUCAAGUAGAACUAUUUAGUUAUGCUGAAAUUCAGUAUCUUCUAGAAAGACAUUAAAUCUUUAAUUAUUUUUAAUUCUCAAUUCUCAGAAUAACCAAUUCAUGUAAUAAUCACCUCCAGUGAUGGCAAAUGAGUUUUGUUUUGGAAGACAUUCUCUUUUCUAGUUAUGUACUUGCGGAGUUUUAUAUAUUCAUAGUCAUUUUUAAAUGCUCAGGUUGUCUCACACUUGCCACUGUAUACUCUUCAACUAGAAUGCUACUUAACCCAGAUUAAAAUCCACGUUUCCCGUGUAGUAACUGAGUGACUCUUGCUUCUGUGCCUCUGUCUCUCAGAAAUAAAACUGGAAUUCAAAAUUCUAUAGAGCUUAUAAGAUGGUUGUAGUAAUUAAAUGAGACAGGUCAGCUACCAGGCUUAGCGAAGGCCAUAAACAAAGAAAGAAUGUGACAAAUGUUAGUUGCUCCUAUUUUCAUAUCAUCACCAUCUAAUGCUAAGUCUUCACUAGGGAAGGAAUUAGGGUCUGGAGAUGCGGUGGUAAAGGGAAGAGCAAGGGUCUCAAAUGCUUUAGAGAGAAGAUUCUCACCCAGAACAGUGACACAUGAGGGCUUUGCAGGGCCAGGAACAGGUAAAGAAACUAGGAACCUGGUGAAGGGAAGAAGGCAGGAGGCAGAAUAAAAUAUUCCUGGAAAAAAAUUAUUUUUGUUUGUUUCACAGUUUUCUCAGGGCCUAUUCUAUUCCAAGAUAUCGAAAAGAAUGCUGGUGAAACUAGAGCUAAGUGGCUGUCUCAGAACCUACCAGAGUAGAGAGGUCAGGUCAUUUCUAGGCUUCAGGUGGCUUGUCCACCUGUCCUGCCAGCCCAGUCUCAGUUUGGGCAUUAGCUGAUGGGCUAAGCUGCUUGUUUCAUGCUGGUCUGUAAGAAGAGCUUACAAGUGGGAAGACAAGUUCAGCAUCAUCUUCAAAUGACAAUGGUCAUAUGAAAUACUAAAGAUAGUUUCCUGUAAAAACCUCCCACAGAAACGAAAAGUUUUUAAAUAAAACAUGUCAUCCAAAAUUGUAAAGUGAGAAAGAUUGUUUUCAUCUCAUGUCUUUGAAUUGUAUUGUGAGAGGUAUUGGUCUUCUUCCACCAAUCCAAAGUUAAGGACAAAUAAAUUUCAUUGUAUCGGAAACUUUGGAGGAAAAAUUUGAUGCUAUUAUUUUCCUUCCAUGGAAAUUUUAUUCUGGGGAUAUAUUUCCGUAGCAAAUGCAUAGUAGUUGCCAAAGAAACAAGUUAAUAGUAGGCUUGAUAAGAGGGAUUUCUUAAAAUGAAGAGCCGUUUUAUCCUCCCCACCAUGUCUUUCCCUUUCAG